rnacentral:lncRNA from 1 species
CGAUCUUCCCUUUCCUUUUCCCUUCCUCUUCCGCUUCCCCUAUCCUUGACACUUGAUCUUCUGCUUGCCAUCAGCCAACACCAAUUCUCAACACCAGACACUGGCGUUCAUCAAAGCUUUUCCCUAUCUUCGGCUUUCGUUGUCAAAAUCUGCACUGGCGUUCAUCUUCCUCUCUCAAAGGUAAGAACGAAAAAAUUUGAAAGCUGAAGUUCUACUAUUUUUUACAGACAAACAGGACCAUAAAACAAAAAUCCUCUAGUUCUAGUAAUGAAACAAUUGUUCACAAUUUGAUUUCUCCAUUUUUAUUUUGUUUUUGUUUCAGUUUCAGUCCUUCUUUCAUCAUAUAUCCAACAGAUUCCUUGAGAAUGAAUUUUCUUCAUAUUAACUUAAAAAAGAGGAAAUCCCAAGCAGAAUGUACCAUACUCUUCAUUAUUGAUCUUAAAUUAUCGUUUUAAAUUACUUACGCCUAUUUUACUUUGUUUCACCUUUCUUCUUUCUCCUAUUUCUGUUUUAGCAGGUUGAUUUCUUUCUACUAUCAACUUUUUAAAAUGAAAACAAUGUAUGCUAUUUAAUACAUGAAAGAACAAUGUCUGUUAUUUAAAUUAUUACAUCAGAAGUAGCAAGAUCCUAAUUGGCAGGAGAAAUUGCAAGUAUGAUACCGUUGGGCUGCAAUGAGGAACAAGUAUAGCAUAAUUUUUUUUCCUUUUUGGAGAAAGUAUAUAUUCUACAUGUUAAUAAGCAUUAGAAACAAACACUAAUUUAGGCAUUAGUAGACAUCAUAAAUGCUAACAGAUUGCAUGUUUAUGAACAAAAAGUUGGAAAGAAGAAUCGGAUGAACAAUAAUUAACCAAAAACUUUCAAUUAAGAUAGGUUUACUGUAUGAAGAAUAAGCAAGAAUCUAUCAAUUUCUGCCUCUAAUUACCUUUUCAAUAAAUGGUCGAGCAAUAAUUAAAUUUGUAUAUUAUACCUGUAGUCACAAAAUUAACGAUAACGAUACAUCUUAGCUUCCAUCACUUGUGGCUGCAGAGAUAAACCAGUAGAAUUCUAAUUUUCUAUUAUGCUUUUGAGUGAUACAAGAAAGAGAAGCUUUUUGGAACAAAAAUUAACUAAAAAUCUAUUUACAAAAUUCAAGCACCAUGUCAAGUUAUAAACUUUUUCUUUUCUAACUCAUGUUAACCACCCUACCAGACAAUUCCUUCUUUAUCUUAGGGAAAAAAAAGACCCUUUCUUCUAAUUGAAAAUGUGAUUGAAUGAUCUGAGAUUCUAAACUACACAAUACCCACAGCACUAGGAGCAUCUAAAUCUUGCAGUGUAAUUAAGAAGUGGGUACAAGAUUAAACUACAAUAGAAGUUAGUCGUACCAACAAAGGAGUAACACAGUACAUCUCCAUAUAAUGUAAAACCGUCCCUUUGUUCUCUAAUUUUCUUUGAACACCUUUGCCAUGAUCGACUUUUCAUACUCCUCACUGGGAAGAAGCACCUCACUGAUACUACUUCUUGAGUGUUAUGUGCAAGUAAUAUGAGAUUUUAUUUUGAGUUUGAAAGGUUGUGGAAGCAUUUGAAGCCCCUUUUAUAAUAAAGAAAGCAGUCAAAGAUAUGAACAUGUGGUGGGAAAGAAACGAUUUUAAUACGAAGGUGUCACAUGGUGUGCAAUUUUACCAACAAACAAAAUGCAUUCAUCCACAGUUAAUAAAUUGUGCAUAUGUUGCCCUCUUGCUGAGCUUAUUUCACUCAGGCUUGGCAUAUGUUCUCAGUACAUGAUCUGUUGUAUGGUUUAUUAUUGUAUUGUUUCUUAUAGAUUCUAGUAUAUGAUUGCAGUUCGUAAGGUUUCUUGGGCAAAGGCAAACCUCAACCAUACUGCUCAAGGCUGCUGCCAUUACUGGUGUUUUCACUGUUAUGCCUACAGUAAGUUAAACCUUAACCUCUCUUAUUGGUUGUUCUUUUAUUAAUACCAGUGAAAGCACACAAUAAUGAAUUUUUUUUUGGGUGCAAACAAGGUACUUAGCCUCCAACUUAGGACCUCUAACCCAAAUCUAACCUUACACUUACUAUUUAAGUUAAGCCUAAGUGGCACACUGUAAAUUAGUUGAAAAGUGUUUAAGUCUAGAGGUACAAGAAAGCACGUUUAUGGCUUAACAUGCUUUUGUUGACCUUUCUUGAAAUCUUAUUUGCUGUUUUCCUUUUGUUUUCCAAUGAUGGUUAAUGUGAUCAUGAAACCUUUUUAUGAUGGUGGAGUAUAAUGAAAAUGGAAAAAGAUUGUAAACAAUUUUUGUAUUCAGGUUGAGGAAACUAGUUCGAACGCAGAUAAGUAUUGAAGUUGUAUUUAUACCUUUUGGUUGUAACUCUUCCAUUUUAUCACAUUAGAUUUGUAUUGUCAUUUGAUUUAGUCUUGAAUGUUAAGAGUAGAUAAUAGAUAUUUAUUAUUCGAAUAUUUAUCACAGUUUUUUGGGCCAUAAACUAUUGAUCACAGUUGAAUAUUUUUAUAGAUAGGGAUUAGAAAUUGAGUAACACUGGUAUUGAAUGCUAGAAUUAGGGAGGCCUUUGGAUCCUAGUAUAAUAAAAAAUAAUAAAAUCAGGUUGCUAGAGGGUUAAGACAUGCCCAAAAAUGGUGAAGACUGGCCUCUAGUCAGUGACAAGGUGGCUAAUAACCAAAUACUACUUGUCUUCACCUUAAUUCAGUCCAAGGAAGCAAGCGAAUGAAUUAUUUACCAGUGGAACUACAUGGUCGAAAAUCAAUGUAAACCAUAUAUAUAAGUAUAUAUAUGUAUAUAUGUAUAUCCAUUAUUAAUUAAGUUUUAGACAUCGACAUGGUUAAGGAAAAGCGAAAAGUCGAGAUAACACAGAGUGGUUGAAUACGAAAUUGGCAG